rnacentral:rRNA from 1 species
CAGCUCUCCGAGUGGUGGGGAUGUUUAUUGGGCCUAAAGCAUUCGUAGCCUGCUUGGCAAGUCCUCCGUUAAAUCCAACGAUUCAAUCGUUGGGCUGCGGGGGAUACUGUCCAGCUAGGGGGCGGGAGAGGCCGACGGUAUCCUCGGGGUAGGGGUGAAAUCCUAUAAUCCCGGGAGGACCACCAGUGGCGAAGGCUGUCGGCUAGAACGCGCCCGACGGUGAGGGAUGAAAGCUGGGGUAGCGAACCGGAUUAGAUACCCGAGUAGUCC